rnacentral:rRNA from 1 species
ACUAGGGAUAGAUACCCUAUUAUUAUGAACGUGAAUGUUUAUUCCAGAUUAGUAUUAGUUAUUUUCUUGAAAAUUAAAGAUUUUGGCGGUAUUUUAGUCUAUUCAGAGGAACCUGUCCCGUAAUUGAUAAUCCACGAUAAAUUUUACUUUUUCUUUAAGUUUAUAUAUCGUCGUAGUUUGAAUAUUUUUUAAGAAUUUAAAUGUUCAAGAUUUUUGUUGAAAGGAAAUCAGAUCAAGGUGUAGCUUAUGAAUGAGUGGAGGUGGGUUACGUUUUUAUCAAUAAAAAGGAUUAUUUUUUGAAAUUAAAUAUGAAUUUGGAUUUGAAAGUAAUUUUAAUUAUUUAAUUAAGAUGAUUUUAGCUCUAAAAUAUGCACAUAUC